UGGAGGAAAACCACAGCGAUGCUGAUGCAACUCUCCAGGUGCUAUUGGUCUCAUGACUUGACGAUCUUUCAGGAGAAGAACAGCUUCUCGUCUAUCAGAAAGAAGGCAGUUAAGACCUGUCUUAUGAGCUCCGGACUCAUGAACCCGCUGCGUACUUGAAAUCUCUGCUGGGCUAACAGUGCACGGUGUUGUUUGGAGACACUCUCAAGCAAAGACGCAGCGCUGAUCAUGGCUCUGACAUUAUCCUGGGUGGCGGGUGUAGAACCAUGGAGGAGACACGGCCGGUUCUUCAGCUGAUUGUAUUCUAGCGCAAGGAAAUCACAGAACAAGUAAGCAAAUACCCAAUGAAUCAACACCAAGGCAUUGAUGAGGGCUACGAAGGAAAAGAAAGACUAAAAUGGGGAGUUCCCUGGUGGCACAGGAGGUUAAGGGCCUGGCGUUGUCACUGCUGUGGCUGGAGCUGCAGCUGUGGUGCGGGUGUGACCCCAGCCCUGGUACGUCCACGUGUCUUGGGGGCAGCAACCACAACAACAACAACAAAUCCUGGAAAGGAUGGCAGGCGGUGAUGGAGGUUGGGUGCCCAGGACGGUGUCCAGGGAGGUUUUUGCUGAGGAAACGGAGGGGGAGGCACGUGGCUGUCCAGAGGAAGACGGCUACGAGCAGAGGGCGGAGCAUGUUCCUGAGUCACUGUGCAGACUUUGGGUUUUAUUCCAAAUGGAUGGGACGGGGUAUUUUGAGCAGAAGAGCUGCGUUGCCCAGAAGGACUAGUUGGCUGAUGGAUAAAGAAGCUCCUCAUUCUCUACAAACAGGUCAAGCGGCCCUCCUUGGCCAUGAUGACGUUCCAGUGGAGGGACCGCUGUCCCCCGAGGCCCUUCUUGCCGUGACGUGACACCUUCUCUCCUUCGACCAACUGCGAGCUUCCUGAGACAAGCCGCGAACUGGUCCCAGGACCGCAGGCGGCACCUGACCGUCAAUGUCUUGGUUUCGCCGACUUUUUGUCUGGGCGUUUUCUUCUCCUUUGGUCUUUCCAUUGUUCUUAGGCUCCUGCUGAUGGAUGUUUAAACUCCGUGGGAAAUGUUUGGAGUUCCUGAGGCUGUGGUCACGACCCCGACUGCUUCUACUGUCUAACCUGAGGUCCUCAGGUUAUGCUUUAGAAUGACGCCUGGAGGAGGUUCUGUAAAUCAGCUUCUUGGCCCAAAGUUUUCAGUCUCCUGUCAAUGGUCUUGGCUUCUGUUUUAUCUGUGUGUUUGUUAAGCCAACUCCAAAUCGUUUUUUCUGGAAGGAGACGUUGUGCAGAUAAGUAAUAAGAAGCUAUUCGAGGCCAUAUAAGUAUAAUUGCAUCCCUGUAAACGCUUUUUAUCAGGGUUUAAUUGUCAUUGUUUCUACCUAAACCAACGUUCUACUUAACGUAAUCUUUGUACAAAGUUUUCUGCUGCAAAUUUGGAAGCAUUUUCCAGCGACCGUCUCAGUACAAGAUACGCGCUUUUCAAAAGCGCUGAAACGUUAGGACAGAUUCUUUAGCAAUUUUGCACAGAUGUGUUUUGCAAUGAGCAGUGGCCUGCCCUUCGCCAUGCAUCUUUAAAGGAAGUGGUUUUGGUAGAGUAAUUUCAGAAAAAAAAAAGAAAAAGCCCUUGCUCUAAAUAAUUACCAGCAGGU